UGGGGAAUAUUGCACAAUGGGGGAAACCCUGAUGCAGCGACGCCGCGUGAACGAAGAAGGUAUUCGUAUCGUAAAGUUCUGUCCUAUGGGAAGAUAAUGACAGUACCAUAGAAGAAAGCUCCGGCUAAAUACGUGCCAGCAGCCGCGGUAAUACGUAUGGAGCGAGCGUUGUCCGGAAUUAUUGGGCGUAAAGGGUACGCAGGCGGUUUAAUAAGUCGAAUGUUAAAGAUCGGGGCUCAACCCCGUAAAGCAUUGGAAACUGAUAAACUUGAGUAGUGGAGAGGAAAGUGGAAUUCCUAGUGUAGUGGUGAAAUACGUAGAUAUUAGGAGGAAUACCAGUAGCGAAGGCGACUUUCUGGACACAAACUGACGCUGAGGUACGAAAGCGUGGGGAGCUAACAGG
rnacentral:rRNA from 1 species